rnacentral:rRNA from 1 species
UACGUAGGGUGCAAGCGUUAAUCGGAAUUACUGGGCGUAAAGCGUGCGCAGGCGGUUAUGUAAGACAGGUGUGAAAUCCCCGGGCUUAACCUGGGAACUGCAUUUGUGACUGCAUAGCUAGAGUACGGUAGAGGGGGAUGGAAUUCCUGGUGUAGCAGUGAAAUGCGUAGAUAUCAGGAGGAAUACCGAUGGCGAAGGCAGGUCUCUGGGCUGACACUGACGCUCAUGCACGAAAGCGUGGGGAGCAAACAGG